rnacentral:rRNA from 1 species
CAGCCGCCGCGGUAAUACGUAGGUGGCAAGCGUUGUCCGGAAUUAUUGGGCGUAAAGGGCUCGCAGGCGGUUUCUUAAGUCUGAUGUGAAGGCCCCCGGCUCAACCGGGGAGGGUCAUUGGAAACUGGGAAACUUGAGUGCAGAAGAGGAGAGUGGAAUUCCACGUGUAGCGGUGAAAUGCGUAGAGAUGUGGAGGAACACCAGUGGCGAAGGCGACUCUCUGGUCUGUAACUGACGCUGAGGAGCGAAAGCGUGGGGAGCGAACAGGAUUAGAUACCCCCGUAGUCCCUGUCUCUUAUAC